CAGUUUCUACAACUCACUUCCUGAUGGCAGAUGUUGUUUCCUACUAUUCACUUAAGUCAAACUAGGGUUACUAAUAGCCUUCAUCUUACUUCACUACUUGAGUAUUUUUCCCUUCAGUGCUUCCAGUCUGUUUAUUAAACAAAUAGAAAAUGAAUGAAAUAAAUCUCUGCAGGUUUGAACAUUGCUUGGCUAGUGAGGAAAAGGAUUUACACUAGGGUCCUUGUAAGGCCUAAGCAAGGAUAAUCACAGCCCAUUAUGUGGCUCCCAAGACACAACUUCCAAUCUCUCUUAAUCUUUGAAAAGGGGACAGUGCAGAUGAAAUAGGGAUGGCUUCUGGCUGCUCAAGCUUGCUCAACAAUCAUUAUCAAGGAGGAGUGAUGUCUU
rnacentral:lncRNA from 1 species